ACCCGCGUACAUGCCACCGGGGCAUCCCGGAGGCAGGAAAGGCUUCGGCCGGACAGGGAUGGGCAUGCGGCGCAUUAGGCAGUAGGCGGGGUAACGGCCCACCUAACCGACGAUGCGUAGGGGUUCUGAGAGGAAGGUCCCCCACACUGGUACUGAGACACGGACCAGACUCCUACGGGAGGCAGCAGUGAGGAAUAUUGGUCAAUGGUCGGGAGACUGAACCAGCCAAGCCGCGUGAGGGAUGAAGGUACAGAGUAUCGUAAACCUCUUUUGUCAGGGAACAAAGGCGGGGACGUGUCCCCGGAUGAGUGUACCUGAAGAAAAAGCAUCGGCUAACUCCGUGCCAGCAGCCGCGGUAAUACGGAGGAUGCGAGCGUUAUCCGGAUUUAUUGGGUUUAAAGGGUGCGCAGGCGGUCUGUUAAGUCAGCGGUCAAAGCCCGGGGCUCAACCCCGGCCCGCCGUUGAAACUGGCAGUCUCGAGUUGGAGAGAAGUAUGCGGAAUGCGCGGUGUAGCGGUGAAAUGCAUAGAUAUCGCGCAGAACUCCGAUUGCGAAGGCAGCAUGCCGGCUCCACACUGACGCUGAGGCACGAAAGCGUGGGUAUCGAACAGGAUUAGAUACCCUGGUAGUCCACGCAGUAAACGAU
rnacentral:rRNA from 1 species